rnacentral:tRNA from 2 species
GCGCCUUUAGCUCAGCUGGAUAGAGCGUUUGACUACGGAUCAAAAGGCCGGGGGUUCGAAUCCUCUAAGGCGCGCCA